rnacentral:pre_miRNA from 1 species
UGCCGAGGAUUUCCUCGGCAGUUAACUACAGUCGGAAUUCAAAUUCCUCGGUAGUUAACUGCCGAGGGGGUA